UGGGGAAUUUUGGACAAUGGGCGAAAGCCUGAUCCAGCAAUGCCGCGUGUGUGAAGAAGGCCCUUCGGGUUGUCAAAGCGACUUUUGAUCCGGAAAGAAAAUCCUUGGCUCUAAUACAGUCGGGGGAUGACGGUACCGGAAGAAUAAGCACCGGCUAACUACGUGCCAGCAGCCGCGGUAAUACGUAGGGUGCAAGCGUUAAUCGGAAUUACUGGGCGUAAAGCGUGCGCAGGCGGUUUGCUAAGACCGAUGUGAAAUCCCCGGGCUCAACCUGGGAACUGCAUUGGUGACUGGCAGGCUAGAGUAUGGCAGAGGGGGUAGAAUUCCACGUGUGAGCAGUGAAAGUGCGUAGAGAUGUGGAGGAAUACCGAUGGCAAGGCAGCCCCUGGGCAAAUACUGACGCUCAUGCACGAAAAGCGUGGGGAGCAAACAGGAUUNGAUACCCUGGUAGUCACGCCCU
rnacentral:rRNA from 1 species